rnacentral:tRNA from 1 species
GGGCGAUUAGUGUCAGUGGAAGCACGUCUGUUUUGCAAGCAGAUAGGAGGGGUUCGAGUCCCCUAUUGUCCAC